GGAUUAGAUACCCUGGUAGUCCACGCCGUAAACGAUGUCAACUAGCCGUUGGGAGGGUCAUCCUCUGAGUGGCGCAGCUAACGCACUAAGUUGACCGCCUGGGGAGUACGGUCGCAAGAUUAAAACUCAAAUGAAUUGACGGGGGCCCGCACAAGCGGUGGAGCAUGUGGUUUAAUUCGACGCAACGCGAAGAACCUUACCUGGUCUUGACAUCCUGCGAACUUUCUAGAGAUAGAUUGGUGCCUUCGGGAACGCAGUGACAGGUGCUGCAUGGCUGUCGUCAGCUCGUGCUG
rnacentral:rRNA from 1 species